UCCCAGUUAGUACAAUGGUUAGUAUAGGGCACUCUCACCCGACCGUUGUAUCAAUACGGUUACGUACUGCCCAGAUCAGGGUUCGAUUCCCUGGCCGGGAA
rnacentral:tRNA from 1 species